GACGAACGCUGGCGGCGUGCCUAAUACAUGCAAGUAGGACGCAGUUGCGAACGGGUGAGUAACGCGUAGGUAACUACCUCCUAGAGGGGGAUAACUAUUGGAAACGCUAGCUAUAACAGCAUACUAGUAGAUGGACCUACGUGUGAUUAGCUAGUAGGUAGGGUAAUGGCCUACCUAGGCAACGAUACAUAGCCGAACUGAGAGGGUGAUUGGCCAAACUGGGGCGUGGAAAAGGCCCCGACUCCUACGGGUGGCAGCAGUAGGGAAUCUUCGGCAAUGGGGGGAACCUUGACCGAGCAACGCCGCGGGAGGGAAGAAAGUUGUCGGAACGUAAAGCUCUGUUGUUAAGGAAGCGGUACUUAACCAGAAAGGGACGGCUAACUACGUGCCAGCAGCCGCGGUAAUUC
rnacentral:rRNA from 1 species